GAUGAACGCUGGCGGCGUGCCUAACACAUGCAAGUCGAACGAUUUACUUCUGUAAAGAUCGGCGGACGGGGUGGUAACCCGUUGGUAACCUCCCCUGUACACACGCCUAACCUACCGAAUGGUUUGCUAAUACUAGAUAUUAUACUUUUAUCGCACUCUAGCUGUAUCAAAGGUUUUGCGGUACAGGAUGGACUCGCGUCUGAUUAGCUAGUUGGUGGUGUAACGGCUCACCAAGGCGACGAUCAGUCGCCGACCUGAGAACGUGAUGGGCCACAUUGGAGAUGAGACACGGACCAAUAUGCGAGGGAAGGGAGGAGAAGGGAAUAUUGCACAAGGGGGGAAGGCGUGACGAAGCAACGUGGCGGAAGAGAGGAAUGGGGUCGGGAAGCAAAGUUGUGUCCGAAAGGAAGAUAAUGACGGUACUUGGGAAAGAAGCACCGGCUAACUACGUG
rnacentral:rRNA from 1 species